rnacentral:rRNA from 1 species
AACGAACGCUGGCGGCAUGCCUAACACAUGCAAGUCGAACGAGACCGUCGGGCCUAGGGGCGCACGGGUGCGUAACGCGGGGGAACUUGCCCUUAGGUUCGGAAUAACUCCCCGAAAGGGGUGCUAAUACCGGAUGAUGUCUUCGGACCAAAGAUUUAUCGCCUUUGGAUGGGGGCGUGUUGGAUUGGCGAGUUGGUAGUGUAAAAGCCUACCAAGGCGACGAUCCAGAGCUGGUCUGGGAGGAUGAUCAGGCACACUGGGACUGAGGCACGGCCCCGACUCCUACGGAAGGCAGCAGUGGGGAAUAUUGGACGAUGGGCCAAAGCCUGAUCCAGCAAUGCCGCGUGAGUCAUCAAGGCCUUAGGGUUGUAAAGCUCUUUUAGCCGGGAUGAUAAUGACAGUACCGGGAGAAUAAGCACCGGCUAACUCCGUG